rnacentral:rRNA from 1 species
UACGGCUCAGUAACACGUCAAUAAUCUGCCCUUAGGUCAGGAAUACCCUCGGGAAACUGAAGUUAAUACUUGAUAUAAGAAUUGUAGUGGAAAAAUUCUUUCUUUGAAACAUGUGCCUAAGGAUGAGUUGGCGGCGGAUUAGGUUGUUGGUGAGGUAAAGGCUCACCAAGCCGAAGAUCCGUAGGGGCCUUGAGAGAGGUAGCCCCGAGAAGGACACUGAGAUACUGGUCCUAGCCCUACGGGGUGCAGCAGGCGCGAAACCUUUACAAUGCACGCAAGUGUGAUAAGGGAACCCCAAGUGCUCAUACUUUGUAUGGGCUUUUGCCAAGAGUAAAUAUCUUGGCGAAUAAGUGGUGGGCAAGACUGGUGCCAGCAGCCGCGGUAACACCAGCGCCACGAGUGGUAAUCACGAUUAUUGGGCCUAAAGCGUCCGUAGCCUGUUUAAUAAGUCUUUUGUGAAAUCGUUGUGCUCAACAUAACGCUGUGCAAGAGAGACUGUUAGACUUGGAACCGGGAAGGGUCAGAGGUAUUCUUGGGGGAGCGGUAAAAUGCUAUAAUCCCAAGAGGACCGCCUGUGGCGAAAGCGUCUGACUAGAACGGCUUCGACGGUGAGGGACGAAAGCUGAGGGAGCAGUCCGGAUUAGAUACCCGAGUAGUCUCAGCUGUAAACGCUGUGAGCAAGGUGUCAUACAUUCUUCGGGAAUGUAUGGUGUCGAAAUGAAGAUGUUAAGCUCACCGCCUGGGAAGUAUGGUCGCAAGGCUGAAACUUAAAGGAAUUGGCGGGGGAGCAC